UCCUCUCAGAAGCCCGUACCUCUUUGAGCCUCACUACUUGAGUAUUCAAAGCUGGAGGACAGAAAUGUUGGUGUUUGAUACGUCUCUGCGAGCAACAACUUCUCCGCAGCCUUGUGAUGAGGAAGAAACAAUUUAGAGCCUCCUCUACCCACUGAUCCUUGCCUGCUGAAGACAUCAAGUCUCUAAGGGCCUCAUUGACACUAUCGACAUAUCACAGACAUGGAUGAAAGGUCAUGUUUCUCAGACAUCAAGUUAAAAACCAAUAGUGACCACAGUCAUGAAAGAACAUUCAGCCUGAGACAAAAGGGGUUAACGCACAGGGAAGAUAACGACGGUGAGACCCGCCACCUGCAGUCCGGAAACAGAAUUUUAACACUGGCCUAUAGGAUGGUGAGAAAUGAACUCCUGGUUGCCGACCAGACUUCCCCUUCUCAUCCCGACGACGCGGGACAUAGGGUAGACGGUCCCAAUGCCGACGAGCAGUAGGAGGACCAGCACAGGAGCUUGCAAGCAAGAGCCCAGAGCAAGAGCCCCUCUCCCCUGGUGUCCAAGGAUGGUUCUGCUGACCCAAGGGAGGAACACAAGAAGGGAAGCUUGAGAUGCUACAAACAACAAAAUGGCACCCUGUGUGCAAAUCCUGGUGAGUGCACUUGUGGGUGCUGCAGCCACAGGCUCUGGAAGACACCCCUGCCUGGGCGAGCCAUCCAGUCCUUCUCUUGCUGUUGGGGCCUGGAUGCUCCAGCAGGGGCAUUGGGCUGGGGUGACUCUUCUUUGCUCUGACUUGAUGUGAGCCCAGUGGCUGCUUUGGAAGUGUCACCCUCAGGGGGUUUUGGUUGGCCUAAGAAUCAAUAUUUAUAGGGUGUCCUGCAUUGUGUGUUUUCUAUUUGUAAUUCUCAAGCAUGGCUCCCAUUUCACUUAGUAUCCAAAGGAGUAAGAAAUCCUCACGUUGGAUUCCAUGAACCUAGGAACCCCAGUGUCUUCUGAACAGCCUUUUCCUCUUUGUGUUCCCAGCACACAAACUGUUAGAAAGAUUUAUGUUAGAAUCCACCCAGCAUCUGCUACCCAGAGCCUAAUUUUGCCCUCCCUCUGAACUGAAUUUUUAAGUUUUAAGUCAAAUACUCGCUGAUGUUUGCGCUUCCCCACUUCAUGCAUAUUCUUCACCUGAGCCCCUGCACCUGGGGAGCAAACCCCUGUCCUGGAGGAAGCCUGAUGCGCCACCUCCAUUGUUAGAAAGCUCCCUCAGGCUGACGUAACCCUGUCCUGGACCUGGAGGAAGCCUGAUUCACCGCCUCGAUUUUUAGAAAACUCCUUCAGGCUGUCCUAACCCCAUCCUGGACCUGGAGGAAGCGUGAUUCCC
rnacentral:lncRNA from 1 species